AUGCCGCUGGACGCGGCCCUCGACGUGGCCUCCGCGCCCCUGGACACGGCCAUCGCGCCGCUGCUCGCGGUGACCACGCCCCAACGAUGGUCGGCCCCAGCGCGCCUCCCGCACACGCAGGAGAAGAGAUCCUUGGGCCCGUGCUCGCGGCUCCAACGCGGAUUCCGCCUCCAGCGCCGGCUGACGAGCCCGGCUUCUUCGUCUUCUUGCCGUUCCCGAACGGCGUCGGAGGGACGACGCAAGCUGCUGGCCUGA
rnacentral:rRNA from 1 species